GGGUCCCCGACCCCGUCCCGAUCCCGAUCCCAGUGCUGGGGCCCUUGUUUCUGAGGAGAAGGAGAAUUGUCUAUAAGUGCACCUGAAUACAACAAAGAUUAUGUGUUCAAGAAUCUUGAGUGAAAUCCCCACAGCCAGUGUUUGUUUCUAACCAAAUCAAUUCUCAUUCAGUUCAAGAAGUACACACAAUGAAGCUACAUGAAUCAUGUAAAGAAGAGAGAAUUAAAGAUGGGAGGAAGAGAUGCAACUAUCAUGGUCUUGUGUUGCCACCUUCUAUUCUGGUUUCAGGGGGAAGCCAGGGCAUUUCCAGACCCACCUGAGGUUAGCAACUGCUUGAGUAGAGACUCUUAGACCUGCUUGCAAACAGCCUACAGACAAAAAAAAAAAUCUGCAGGAAUUAGAUGAAAAAUCUCAAAACAGAGGAUAGAAUCAAGACAAUCACAAUGUACUCAUGCAUAAUUCAUGGGGGGGGGGGGGAAUCUGCAUCUCCUGAAUGCUUCUUUCACUUGGGCUUCUUUCACUUAAGGCCUCAUCCAAAAUAUUCAGACAAUGAGAGAUGUUUCACCAUCUUGAGUCUAAGCCAAGUCACCGUCUGCUUACACCUGUAAAACUGAUGGAUAAAAUGAGGCUAAAACCAAUCAAAGUUUAUUGCCCACAAUCUCACGGUGUGCUACUGAGGGCCUGUAAUCAGAAAGCAUUGGAUUCAACAGCAGUGCUUCUGGUGCUUCAGAU